UGUUGUCCGACUCUGUUGCCUCCGGGGCGACCCUGCCUUCGGGCGGGGGCUCCGGGUGGACACUUCAAACUCUUGCGUAACUUUGCAGUCUGAGUAAAUUUAAUUAAUAAAUUAAAACUUUUAACAACGGAUCUCUUGGUUCUGGCAUCGAUGAAGAACGCAGCGAAAUGCGAUAAGUAAUGUGAAUUGCAGAAUUCAGUGAAUCAUCGAAUCUUUGAACGCACAUUGCGCCCCCUGGUAUUCCGGGGGGCAUGCCUGUUCGAGCGUCAUUUCACCACUCAAGCCUCGCUUGGUAUUGGGCAACGCGGUCCGCCGCGUGCCUCAAAUCGACCGGCUGGGUCUUCUGUCCCCUAAGCGUUGUGGAAACUAUUCGCUAAAGGGUGCUCGGGAGGCUACGCCGUAAAACAAACCCAUUUCUAAGGUUGACCUCGGAUCAGGUAGGGAUACCCGCUGAACUUAAGCAUAUCAAA
rnacentral:rRNA from 1 species